rnacentral:misc_RNA from 1 species
UGGAUAUGUUUAUCUCCAUCUUCACCGAGAUCAUUAAAGAUCCCAUCAUGCAAUUCGUAGUCGUUCCUAUCAAACGACACAUUAGUUAUCCUUUCAACUACAAGACCAAGGUUGAGAGGCUCCAGGAUGAGGCUCAGCAAUUGAACAGCAAAAGAGACAGGUUGCAGCAAUCAGUUGCUGAUGCUUCAAGAAGAGGGGAGG